rnacentral:rRNA from 1 species
GACGAACGCUGGCGGCGUGCUUAACACAUGCAAGUCGAACGGAAAGGCCCUGCUUUUGUUGGGUGCUCGAGUGGCGAACGGGUGAGUAACACGUGAGUAACCUGCCCUUGACUUUGGGAUAACUUCAGGAAACGGGGGCUAAUACUGGAUAGGAGCUCCUGCUGCAUGGUGGGGGGUGGGAAGUUUCGGCGGUUGGGGAUGGACUGGCGGCUUAUCAGCUUGUUGGUGGGGUAGUGGCUUACCAAGGCUUUGCCGGGUAGCCGGCCUGAGAGGGUGACGGGCCACAUUGGGACUGAGAUACGGCCGAGACUCGUACGGGAGGCAGCAGUGGGGAAUAUUGCACAAUGGGCGGAAGCCGGAUGCAGCAACGCCGCGUGCGGGAUGACGGGCUUCGGGUUGUAAACCGCUUUCGCCGGUGACGAAGCGUGAGUGACGGUAAUGGGUAAAGAAGCACCGGCUAACUACGUG